rnacentral:rRNA from 1 species
UACGGAGGGUGCGAGCGUUGUCCGGAAUCACUGGGCGUAAAGGGCGCGUAGGUGGUGGCUUAAGCGUGCGGUGAAAGCUCGGGGCUCAACCCCGAGUCGGCCGUGCGAACUGGGCUCACUGGAGCAUAGUAGAGGCAGGUGGAAUUCCGGGUGUAGCGGUGGAAUGCGUAGAGAUCCGGAAGAACACCGGUGGCGAAGGCGGCCUGCUGGGCUAUGGCUGACACUGAGGCGCGACAGCGUGGGGAGCAAACAGG